CGACCAUGUGAGGACACAGGGAGAAGGCGGCCAUCUACAAGCCCAGGAGAGGGGCCUCGGAAGAAACCAACGCUGCCCACGCAUUGAGCUUGGACAUCCAGCCUCCAGAACUGUUCAGAGCUGGGCAUUAGGGACACCAAGUCCAACAAGACGAGGAUCUGGAGCCCAGAAGGAGGACAGCCAGUUUUCCCAGGGAUGCAACGACCUCCAGGAAAUGAGAGAAAGAGAUGGUGUGGAAUCUCAAAGACGACAACACCAGAUGGUCGACAUCCCAAGAGCCCCCUUUUCCAGCCCAUUUGCCCUAUAGAACUGCUUCAAAAUGUUGUAGUUUUAAGAUGGUUCUUUAGGACACGAGUCCGCCAUCUUCCCCCUUGCAAGCGAGCUGUA